AUGUGCGAGAAAUUCCUAGGCUGCCGACCCCAUUGGGGCCUUUUCAAACACAUUUUCACUUGUCGUUCCCAAUUGGUCAAAAAGGCCAAUCCGAGUGAUGAGAGGACGAAGGUGAUCCAUAUGUGUGGAGGUUUAGGGAUCCAGAUGAGGGGAAAAAGUGCUUUCCCCGCCAUGAUUCUUCCUGAUUCUGUUAGGGGGUGGCAGUCGGCUUGGUUCUACUACAAGGACCAACCGACUCCUGGUCAGUCGACCGGCCUCCCACCAUUUUCUAUAGCCCGAGUCGAAAAGCCUCCAACUUUGAAAGUGACCCCGGCUGAGAGAGUGGAGGUGAAUAUGCUAGUCGACCGAGUAGUCCAGCUUGUCCAUGACGGCGUGACCGGCAUGGACCUGUUAGAGGUGUUUCUCAGACGGCGUAUUCAACCUCUCCAAGCCCGUGACCACCCCAUGUGGAUGUAUUCGGGGAUUGAAGACAACACUCGAAUCCACCCGGAGGAGGUUGAUGAGGCGACGGUGGUGCAGUGGUUGAAAGGUAUUACCGGCAACAAGGACAACCCCAGGGGGUCUAGGAGAGUUCUUCCAUUCGACAGCACCAACGAACCAGCCAAGAUCUACACUGAGAUGUAUCCGAUGCCCAACAGAGAGCAGGAGCAAGAGCACGAGGGAGAGGCGAGUGGUGGUGAAAGUGGAGAGUGGCACUCUGAUGGAGGAGAGGACGACGAGAGCAAAGACUCUAGCAGUGGUGUGGAGGUCGACUCUCCACCUCGCUCGGAGCGGCGCUCCAAACUGAAGCAUGACCCGACAAGCGUCUGCGGCAAAGUGGUUCCUCCGACUGGACAAACUUCCAAGCGCCCUCGAACCUCUUCUCCAGUGCCAAAUGAAAAGGCUCUGAAGCAUCCCAAAGUCGCGGCGUCAAAACCUCUGAAGGCUCUGCCCAAGAUUAAAGUGAACGUCCCCGUUGCUUCUGGAUGA
rnacentral:rRNA from 1 species